UCCUGGUUGCUUAGAGGUUAAAGCAUCUGCCUGGAAUGAGGAAGACCUGGGUUCGAUCCCUGGGUCGGGAA
rnacentral:tRNA from 1 species